rnacentral:lncRNA from 1 species
CUGGGUCUUCCGCUGGGCCCUUCGCCUCACCCCAGGCGGCUGCUUCUGCUUCUACGUGGUGAAAAUAGCAGAUCUCACAAGCACCAGCUCAACGCCUCACGGCUCUCGCUGUGGCCAGAGGGAACACUGUGGCUACGCAGAUGUAUCUAACAACUUGUGGAUGGCGAUGCUGCCGGGACCUGAUGGACAUGGACAUCCAGAAUAAGCGUCUAUUCCGGAGGGGAAGAGACGCAGAAACACAUGCAGAGGUGACAGCUGUGUGAUGCUGGAGGCAGAGGCUCCUGGAGUGACUCAGAGGAAGACGAGGCACACCAAAGAUGUCCGGCUGACCCUGCAAGCUGGGAGGAGGCAGGAGAGAUUUCACGCAGAGUCUCAGAGGAGCAGAGCUCUGUCGACGCCUGGGUUCAGACUUCCAGCCUCCAGAACUUGAGCGAAUAUGUGUGUGCUGUGUGAAGCCCCCAGUCUGGGACACUCUGCUGCAGGGGCCCCGCAAAUGAAUACGGGGCGAGUCCCCUAACUCCUCACCUUGCAGGCGGACCGCCUGAGGCUCCAGAAGGGGCAGGGGCUCACCUGAGGUCCCAAGCAAGUGGGAGGCGGAGGCGAGACUUGAAUCACGGUCCCGCUGACUCGGAGGCCAGUGCUCACCUCACACUGUAACUCCUUCCCCGAGUGUGUGGCAGCCUGGGCUGGUGCCGCCGUGCUCCCAUCUGGACAGGGACUACGUCUGGCUCAACACCUGGGCAGCAGGUGCAAGCCGAGCCGCGGGGGGCUCGGGUGUAGGAUGCUCCAGAAACCAAGGUGGGAAAAAGUGCAUGUGGUGCGGGAGGAAGGGGAGAGAGACGGAGAAAAGCGAUUAACACUGACUGGGCUGAGUGCCGGGUCUUCUGCACAUCAUCUCAUUUACAUCCCACAACAACCUUUUGGCGUAAGUAUCAUUAUCCUCAUUUUUCAGAUGGAAAACUGAGUUUCAGAGAAGCUAAGUGACCCUCCCAUAAACUGUACAGCUGGAGAUUUGAAGCCAC